rnacentral:rRNA from 1 species
ACGAACGCUGGCGGCGUGCUUAACCCAUGCCAGUCGCACGGAAAGGCCCUGCUUUUGUGGGGUGCUCGAGUGGCGAACGGGUGAGUAACACGUGAGUAACCUGCCCUUGACUUUGGGAUAACUUCAGGAAACUGGGGCUAAUACCGGAUAGGAGCUCCUGCUGCAUGGUGGGGGUUGGAAAGUUUCGGCGGUUGGGGAUGGACUCGCGGCUUAUCAGCUUGUUGGUGGGGUAGUGGCUUACCAAGGCUUUGACGGGUAGCCGGCCUGAGAGGGUGACCGGCCUCAUUGGGACUGAGAUACGGCCCAGACUCCUACGGGAGGCAGCAGUGGGGAAUAUUGCACAAUGGGCGGAAGCCUGAUGCAGCAACGCCGCGUGCGGGAUGACGGCCUUCGGGUUGUAAACCGCUUUCGCCUGUGACGAAGCGUGAGUGACGGUAAUGGGUAAAGAAGCACCGGCUAACUACGU